UUGCAGGGGAGUCAAUGCCA
rnacentral:siRNA from 1 species